GGUGCUUCCCAUGUCUGUGCUGCUCUGUCGCCAGUGAUAUGGAUGAGUGUUGUCUGUGUGGGUCUUCCAUGGCCAUGCGCACCAUGUACCCCACCAAAUACAACAUUAGGGGCUCCCUGUGUGGGGACUUCUGUGCCGUCUUGUGGUGUCAGCUGAAAAGAGACAUAGCCCUAUGCAAGGAGCAGGGGAUCUUCUGAGCUAAGAUGGCGCCAGAGACC